CCGAGGUUUAUUCAUGUGCCUUAUUAAUGGGUCUCUUCCCAGUGGCUGUGCAGUGCCUGGCAUGCAGCUCGGCUCAGGGAAGCCCUGGUGAGUGAGUGCAGGAGAAGGGGUGUUAAAUGGUGGCGCAGAAAGGUGACAGCUUCAGGAAGAGGGCAGGUAAAGACCUCUUUGCAGCCUCCUGGCCUGUGUUGUAGCCUGGGAGGUCCCCUGCAGGGCAGAGGCCACCAAAAGUCCAACUGCUUCACUUUUCUUCCUUCAAGAAUCAUGGCCCUUGGUCGCCUGCUCCAUGUCUUACAAGGAACAGUGUCACACAGCAGCAGAAUGAUGUGGGCAGAACUUCGGAUUCAGGCAAGAACACACCAGACAACGGGAGAAUCUACGGCCUCUUGCAUGGGAAGGUUCUCUUUGGGCUUAGCACAGCUAAGGGAUGCUUCCCACUGGAGUCCUUUAUCCAUUCUGUAUCUUUCUUCCAGCUCUUCUCUGGAAUCGUGUCUAAGGAAAAAUUACCGAGCUCAUGUGCCCCUCCCCCAGCUGGGUUCUAGUGGCUGCCUUUAUAGGUAGCAGUGCUUGUCUGAUGGAAAUGGGAGAGGACCACGCCUCUGCUGGAACUCCCCGCUCCUCGAGUCCAUGGUUCAUAUUAUUUGUCAAUUUGACAGAAUCUAGAAUUACCUGGGAGAAAGGGCUCUGGGCAUGCCUGGGAGGCAUUGUCUUAAUUACCUUAAUUGAGGUAAGAGGACUGUCCCACUGUGAUUGGCACCGGUCCCUGGCUGGGAUCCUGGAUUGGAUAACCGAAGGAGACAAACAGAGCAACAGGAUGCAUGCAUUGCUCUCUGUCCGUGCUAAGGAAUAGGAUGCAAGCAGCGUCUUCAAGCUCCUGCCUUGAUUUCCCCACUGCAAGGGACUGCCCCUUGAACUGUGAAUUAAAAUCGAUCUGUCU